rnacentral:snRNA from 1 species
CCAUUUUAGUUCUAAUGGCU